rnacentral:rRNA from 1 species
GUGUCAGCAGCCGCGGUAAUACGGAAUGUGCAAACGUUAUUCGGAAUCACUGGGCUUAAAGAGUCCGUAGGCGGCUUGUUAGGUGAGGUGUGAAAUCCCUCGGCCCAACCGAGGAAUUGCGCUUCAAACCGGCAAGCUAGAGGAGGAUAGAGGUGGGCGGAACUGAUGGUGGAGCGGUGAAAUGCGUUGAUAUCAUCAGGAACACCGGAGGCGAAGGCGGUCCACUGGGUCCUAUCUGACGCUGAGGGACGAAAGCUAGGGGAGCGAACGGGAUUAGAUACCCGCGUAGUCC